AUCAUUAGCUCAACUAAUGGGCCGCCGAAAAUACUGUAGAACUAGGGAGUGGGAGAGGUAGACGGUACUCGGUAGGGAGGGGUAAAAUCCUUUGAUCUAUUGAAGACCACCUGUGGCGAAGGCGGUCUACCAGAACACGUUCGACGGUGAGGGAUGAAAGCUGGGGGAGCAAACCGGAUUAGAUACCCGGGUAGUCCCAGCUGUAAACGAUGCAGACUCGGUGAUGCGCUGGCUUGUGGCCAGUGCAGUGCCGCAGGGAAGCCGUUAAGUUUGCCGCCUGGGAAGUACGUACGCAAGUAUGAAACUUAAAGGAAUUGGCGGGGGAGCACCACAAGGGGUGAAGCCUGCGGUUCAAUUGGAUUCAACGCCGGACAUCUCACUGGAAGCGACGGCAGGAUGACAGCCAAGCUGAUGACUUUGCUUGACGAGCCGAGAGGAGGUGCAUGGCCGUCGUCAGCUCGUACCGUAAGGCGUCCUGUUAAGUCAGGCAACGAGCGAGACCCGUACCCUUAUUUGUCAUCUGAUCCCUACGGGGAUCAAGACCCAUUAAGGGGACCGCUGCUGAUAAAGCAGAGGAAGGAGCGAGCAACGAUAGGUCAGUAUGCCCCGAA
rnacentral:rRNA from 1 species